rnacentral:rRNA from 1 species
GUUGUUGCAGUUAAAAAGCUCGUAGUUGGAUUUCUGGUAGGAGCGACCGUGCCGAACUUGAUUGUUCGAGUAUUGUGUUGUCUUCAGCCAUCCUCGUGGAGAACUUUUCUAACAUUAACUUGUUGGGAUUGGGACCCGCGUCGUUUACUGUGAAAAAAUUAGAGUGUUUAAAGCAGGCAUUAGCUUGAAUACAUUAGCAUGGAAUAAUAAGAUAGGACUUUGGUACUAUUUUGUUGGUUUGCAUACCAAAUUAAUGAUCAACAGGAACAGUUUGAGGAUAUUCGUAUGAACAUGUCAGAGGUGAAAUUCUUGGAUUUUGAUCAGACGAACUACUGCGAAAGCAUUUAUCAAGGAUGUUUUCAUUAAUCAAGAACGAAAGUUAGGGGAUCGAAGAUGAUUAGAUACCAUCGUAGUCUUAACCAUAAACUAUGCCGACUAGGGAUUGGCGGACGUUGUCUAUAUGACUUCGCCAGCACCUCAUGAGAAAUCAAAGUCUUUGGGUUCCGGGGGGAGUAUGGUCGCAAGGCUGAAACUUAAAGGAAUUGACGGAAGGGCACCACCAGGAGUGGAGCCUGCGGCUUAAUUUGACUCAACACGG